GUGGGGAAUAUUGCACAAUGGGGGAAACCCUGAUGCAGCAACGCCGCGUGAGUGAUGACGGCCUUCGGGUUGUAAAGCUCUGUCUUCAGGGACGAUAAUGACGGUACCUGAGGAGGAAGCCACGGCUAACUACGUGCCAGCAGCCGCGGUAAUACGUAGGUGGCAAGCGUUGUCCGGAUUUACUGGGCGUAAAGGGAGCGUAGGCGGACUUUUAAGUGAGAUGUGAAAUACCCGGGCUUAACCUGGGUGCUGCAUUUCAAACUGGAAGUCUAGAGUGCAGGAGAGGAGAAUGGAAUUCCUAGUGUAGCGGUGAAAUGCGUAGAGAUUAGGAAGAACACCAGUGGCGAAGGCGAUUCUCUGGACUGUAACUGACGCUGAGGCUCGAAAGCGUGGGGAGCAAACAGGAUUAGAAACCCCAGUAGUCC
rnacentral:rRNA from 1 species